rnacentral:rRNA from 1 species
GUCUCAGGCGUAUCAGCCUGAAGGCGCCCGAUCUCGUCUGAUCUCGGAAGCUAAGCAGGGUCGGGCCUGGUUAGUAUCUUGGAUGGGAGACCACCUGGGAAUCCGGUUGCUCGAGGCU